GGCUGGUUGGUCCAGUGGAAUAGUGUUUACAACGAAUUCAUCACAAUCAGAGCUUUCAUUCCUUCCCUGCUCCCACUGCUUUACUCAACUAGCCUCAA
rnacentral:Y_RNA from 1 species